rnacentral:rRNA from 1 species
GCCUGCCCGGUGACUAUAUGUUAAACGGCCGCGGUAUACUGACCGUGCCAAGGUAGCGCAAUCACUUGCCCUUUAAAUGGGGGCCCGUAUGAAUGGCAUCACGAGGGCUAAUCUGUCUCCUUUUUCCAGUCAAUGAAAUUGAUCUCCCCGUGCAGAAGCGGGGAUAAACCCAUAAGACGAGAAGACCCUGUGGAGCUUUAGAUACUAAGAUUGAUCCUCUUAAUAUAUACAGAACAAAGAUAUCCAAAUAAGGAAUACAAUCCGACUAUCUUUGGUUGGGGCGACCGCGGGGACUAAAAAAACCCCCAUGUGGACCGAGAAUAAAAGUUUUUCUUAUUCUUACAAUCAAGAGUUACCACUCUAACUAACAGAACUUCUGACCUUAAGUGAUCCGACAAAGUCGAUCAACGGACCGAGUUACCCCAGGGAUAACAGCGCAAUCCCCUUUAAGAGCUCUUAUCGACAAGGGGGUUUACGACCUCGAUGUUGGAUCAGGACAUCCCAUUGGCGUAGAAGCUAUUAAGGGUUCGUUUGUUCAACG